AUCAUCCCCUCCUCCCACCCUCGCCGCCGGCGACUCGCCGAUGCCCUUGCCCGUCCCCGGCCGCCGCGGCCUCGUCCACCCUCUCCUCCUCCUCGCGCUCCUCGCGCCACCCCCGCUCUGCGCGGCCGAGUCGGCGACGUGCCUGGCCGUGUACCGGGAGGGCGGCGCGCCGGCGGUGUUCCAGUCCGCGCACUGCCCGCGCUGGACGCUGCCCCCGCCCGGCGCCGGCGAGGGGCAUGGCGGAGGGGGCGGGAGCUCCCCGAUGGGGUGCCACGUGGCGGCGGACCGUGGCCGCCGGCGGUCCCAGGAGGACCGCGCCAUCUGCGCCCUCGGCAUCCGCAUCCCCUUCGUAGAGCAGAUGAGGAUUAAAGAGGUUGAUGUGGGAGUGGUUGCCAUAUUUGAUGGUCAUAAUGGAGCUGAGGCUAGUGAAAUGGCUUCCAAGCUUUUUCUGGAUUACUUUUUGCUCCAUGUUUAUUUUCUUCUCGAUGGUCUAUACUCUAUACUCCAUGUUGUUCAGAAAAUCUACUGGGAAACUGACAUAUAGGGAAGUUGCUAUUUUUAACAAUGUAUUCAAUCUGUACAAGGAUGUCCAAUCCAACCACAGAGAGGGGUCAUGUUGGACAUUGCCAGCUAUUUUAGACCGAUCAUUUCACAUGGAAAUUCUGAAGGAAUCAUUAACAAGGGCAGUUCAUGAUAUCGACUUAACAUUCUCCAAGGAAGCUUCGCAGAAACAUUUUGAGUCUGGUUCAACAGCGACUGUGGUCUUGAUAGCUGAUGGACAAAUUAUAGCUGCCAAUGUAGGAGAUUCAAAAGCUUUUCUGUGCUCAGAAGGACAUGAUCCACACCGUCGAAAUAGGAAACGGAGAAGAAAGAGAAACUCAAUCAAUCAUGAAGAAUUUGCUUUGGUAAAUUAUGAUGGACCACUGUAUCAUGCAAGGGAGCUGACCAAGGACCACCAUCCUGAUAGAGAAGAUGAGAGAAGUCGUGUGGAGGCUGCUGGUGGUUAUGUUGUUGAGUGGGCUGGUGUAUACCGUGUUAAUGGUGAGCUAGCGCUCUCAAGAGCUAUUGGUGACCUUCCUUUCAAAAGGUAUGGGGUAAUAUCUACACCUGAAUUGGCAGGGUGGCAGAUACUGUCAGAAAAUGACACUUUUCUGGUUGCGUCGUCCGAUGGGAUUUUUGAGAAAAUGACUAUGCAAGAUGUUUGUGACCUCAUGCUGAAUGCAAAAUUGCGUGUUAACCAGGAUUUAGGAUCAUCUGCUAUCACACAACAUAAUUUGGCAGAUUAUGUAGUUCGUGUUGCUUUGCAGAAAGGCACAAGAGACAAUGUCGCUGCUGUGGUUGUUCCAUUAGGACCACCUAGUAGCGCUGGUACGACGUUAGAAGAUUGGUCUCAGUUUGAACAAAAUCUCAAGACAUCUAUUUCACCAUUACAGAAUAUUCCAUACCAACUGAAGCCUGCAGAUGAUGACACUAGUUCAGCUGUUAUUGACAUGGAGUAUUUCAGGCGUUCAUCAACAAAGUUGCAGAGGUUCUUGGUUGAAGCAAAACUUAAGACACUCGGUUGUUUCUACUUGUCCGAGAGUCUGGAUGAAGAUGUGGACUAUAUAUUUAGGGUACCGGAAGCAUACCAGCGUGAAGAAGCCCAUGACUUCAAUCACGUGCCAUCUGAGACUGCCUUAUAUUCUGAUGGUAAUCUUGAAAAAUACAAGGACAGACACUUUUGCUUGUACCUUGGUCAUCAAGAUGGCGAAAUGGGGCGGUGCAAUGGUCCUGAAGCAGUGGCAAAUUUUUUUGGUUUACUUGACUCCCUUCCUCAUAAUGGAACCAAUUCAAAUGGUUCACACUCCUUUGGCAACAAGAUAGAUUUCAGGUACAAGCUUAAGAGGAGAUUCGAUCGUGGUUCAUAUGGUGAAGUCUGGUUGGCAUUUCACUGGAAUUGCUCUGAAGAUAUAGAUUUGCAUAAGGACCCUCGACAUUUUACCACUAUACCUAAAUCAGACUCGUAUAACUGCACAAGUUCAAACACAAUGCUGUCUGAUGAAGAUCAUGUCUCAGAAACAGUAGAUGGUGAUUUAUUCAUACUGAAGCGCAUAAUGGUGGAGAGAGGAAAUGCUGCUUACUUGAGUGGAUUGCGGGAGAAAUACUUUGGGGAAUUAUUUUCUAAUGCUUCCAGAACUCUUGAAGGUUUGUCAAGGACAGAAUCUUCAUCGACUAUCUUUUCAAUGGACAUGCCAUUGGAUCCUGAUAUCCUUCUAGAAAGGAACAUGUCAGUUACUGAAGAACCACUCAUGCAUGUGGCUAGGUUUAUAGAAUCUUUUGAAUCAGAAUCAAGGGAAAUUUGGCUUGUCUACCAGAAUGAAGGCCGCUCAUUAUCAAAACUGAUAUAUACAGCUGAAGAGACAAAGUUGGUCACUGGCAACAAUAAUCAGAGGGUCAGACAUUCAAGUUCUACACCCAUCAAAGUGGUGGUAUUGGUUAAGGACAACAAAAGCUGGGCAAAAUCAAAUGCAGAACCUCUUACGGCAGCUGCUGAUGGGACUGAAGGCUUGUCAUGAUCGUAAUAUCACUCACAGGGAUAUCAAACCUGAGAACAUGAUCAUUUGCUUUGAGGAUGUGGAUACUGGAAAGUGUCUAAGAGAGGUUCCAUCUGAAGCAAAGCAAAAUAAGCUGAACAUGCGUCUGAUUGACUUCGGCAGCGCUAUUGAUGAUUACACACUGAAACAUCUUUAUGGUUCAGGGCCUACUCAAUCUGAACAGACUUUUGAGUACACUCCUCCAGAGGCACUCCUUAAUUCAAACUGGUUUCAAGGAUCAAAAAGUGCAAGACUUAAGUAUGAUAUCUGGAGUGUUGGAGUUGUCAUGCUAGAAUUGAUAGUGGGUUCUCCCCAUGUUUUCCAGAUAAGCGAUCGGACACGUGUUUUAAUGGAUCAGCGUCUUGAAGGGUGGAGUGAACAAACAAAGGAGCUUGCAUACAAGUUGAGGUCAUACAUGGAGUUGUGUAUUUUAGUCCCAGGGAUUUCAACACAUGGCAGUGGAAGCUCAGAACAGGGUCAAUUUGGGUUAGCUUCGUGGAAAUGCUCUGAAGAAUCAUUUGCACAUCAAGUGAAGAUCAGAGAUCCUCUUAAAAUGGGCUUUCCUAAUUUAUGGGCAUUGCGACUUGCACGCCAGCUACUGGUGUGGCAUCCUGAGGACCGCCUCAGUGUCGAUGAAGCACUAAAUCAUCCUUAUUUCCUGGAACCACCAGAAUGCUGAGGCGAUGAAAAUAACUAACCAGCCAGUGAAUCCCUAACACAGGUGGGAUCAUCCAUUCGGUGCGUCUGAUCAGCAAAAUAUGUGAAAUAUUUGUAGAUAUCAGCCUGAUUGUGCCAUCUGGCGUUGUAAAACUUUGAUAUGAAACAGAGCAUAGGAGCAUAUGUGAAAACACGUGUAUAACCAGCAACGUAGAUAGAUGUAGUCAUAUAGAGUUGCAAAGGAAGAGAAGCGGUUGUGUGAGUAGCUGCUAGAGUACCAACCAAAAAUGCCCUUUGGUAAUUGAGGCCAGAUAUAAGAUCAGUUGAAUCUAGUGAUGCUACAAAUAGUAUUAUGAUGCUACUCGAUCUCAUCUGCUGAAUUCAAAGUGAAAAAAGGGUUCUUUGCUGGGUCACAGCUUAUA